rnacentral:rRNA from 1 species
UACGUAGGGGGCUAGCGUUGUCCGGAUUUAUUGGGCGUAAAGAGCGUGUAGGCGGUCAGGUAGGUCCGUUGUGAAAACUCGAGGCUCAACCUCGAGACGCCGAUGGAAACCAUCUGACUAGAGUCCGGAAGAGGAGAGUGGAAUUCCGUGGUGUAGCGGUGAAAUGCGCAGAUAUCAGGAAGAACACCCGUGGCUAAGGCGGCUCUCUAGUACGGUACUGACGCUGAGACGCGAAAGCGUGGGGAGCGAACAGG